GACACUGUAGCCCAAUGGUUUAGGUGGGCAUAUUACCGCUCUGGUAGGUCGCGGGUUCGAUUCCCAGCAGUGUAA